CACACCUGUAAAGUGCCUUGAGAUAACUCUGUUAUGAAUUGCCACUUUAAAUAAAAUUGAACUGAAUUGAACACAACUGAACUGAAUUGAAUAUGUCUGGCAGGAAUGGCAAUGACUUAUAGCAAAGCUUUGAUAUAUAAUAUAUUAGGAUUGUUUAUUUCAUUUUCAACUCAGCUUGCAGGUGUUUCCACUAGAGGUAAGAUGUAGAUGGUCGUAGGAGACACAGGUAAGUUAAACAUCAAUGAAAUGUCUCCUGCAAGUCUGAAUUUCACUUCCCAUUUGCUGGAUCCACAAUCUUCUACCCUGCCCAACUGAGUCCUGGUACUGCUGCUGGAUCCAGAACCCUCUGCAUGGCCCUGCCUGGAUCCUGCUCUGCACUGUUCUCUCUGUCCUUCCUGUCUCUCCUCUCUCGCUCCCAGGCGGUCGCAGCAGAAGGCCGUCCACACUGAGUCUGGUUCUGCUCGAGGUUUCUGCCUGUUAAAAGGAAGUUUUUCCUCGCCACUGUCGCCAAAUGCUUACUCAGUGCGGGGUUUUGCCCUGUGACAUGUUUCUCUCUGUUUCUCUUCUUUUUUCUUUUAUUUUUGAAUGUGUUGUAUACACACCUGUAAAAUGCCUUGAGAUAACUCUGUUAUGAAUUGGCACUUUAAAUAAAAUUGAAUUGAAUUACAUUGAACUGAAGUGAAAGUCUCCAGUGAAUCUUAGAAAAUUGAUUAUUUAUUUUAAUCACUCUUUUGAUUUUUUGUAUUCCUGAGGUAUUGAUGGUUACGCUUAGAGGUAAGUAAAAAAUGCUGAAAAAUGUCAGUGAAAUUCUCCUGCAAUUUUUCCAAUUAAUUUAAUAAUUUUUGUUGUUUUUUUGUUGUUUUGUUUUUGUAGUUUCCGUUUUUUCUUUUUUUUUUUUUUGUUUCCACAGAUGCUGACCUGAGAAGUGCAAGCCUUGGAUCUCCACAAGCACAAAGAUAUGGACCAGAUGACAGGGAUUACUGCAGGACCAUCUGGAGGGUGCAACCCCUGACCCCACCCUCUACACCUGUCCAGACAGAUCGGGCCCGACCAGCACAGGGGAUGCUGUUGUUUCCAUUCACUUCUUCUGUGCUGGUGGGUUUGGGAUGCUCCUCACAGAUCUGCACAUCGGAAGUUGCCACCAACUCACUGCAUCUCGACUCAGAAGUCAAGUCAGUUAAGAAAUUGAGUCAGUUCAUUCUAGGAAAAAAAAGAUAAAUAAUAAAUACUGUGAA